CGGGCGGCCGUGACCCUGCUGGAGUGCGGGGGGGACCUUCAGCCCCCCGGGGGUUCCCUGACAUUGCUGUGCCGAGGGUCCGGGUUCAGUUUUGGGAGUUAUGGAAUGUACUGGAUCCGCCAGAGACCUGGGCAGGGCUUGGAAUACGUCGCAGGCAUCUACAACACUGGUGGCACCACCUACUACAAUCCAUCGGUCAAGGGCCGGUUGAGGAUCUUCAGGGACAACGGGCAGAGCUCGGUGACGCUGACCAUGAACAACCUCAAGGACGAGGAUUCCGCCACCUAUUUCUGUGCCAAGAAUGCUGGUGCUGGUGCUGCCACCGCUGCGGAUGUAGGCGACGAAUUCCAGCCCCUGCCCGGGUCUCUGACGGACCCAUUGUAG